rnacentral:lncRNA from 1 species
GAUGGGAAAACAGAAGCUAAAAGAAACUAGAGCUCAGAACAUGAGUUUAAGUGGGCAGAGAGAGGUUUGACACAUUGAAUAGUAUGUGAGUUUCCACUCUGGAUAUUGUGCAAAUGCCAGUCACAGCCAACUCAUUUCAAAGGACAGUGAUGUACAUAGUAGUUUGUCUGUCACCCAUUUACUGUUUGACAAUCUAUUGCAUUGCAAAGAGAAAAAAAAGAAAAAGAGAAAAAAAGGAAAGAAAGAAAAAGAAAAGAGAGAGAAAGAAAAAUAAAUUGAUUUAUUUCUUCAAAGACAGAUUUCAGAUGGAACUGGUAUUGAUUUGAAGUAUGAGUCUGUGUGGAUUCAUCAUUUCUAUCUAAUUCACAGAUUCCAGCAUACUCAGACCCUAGGUUGUGCCCUGACAUGGCUCUGUCUUAGAGCUGGACAGAGUUAACAUGAGAUAAUCCUCCUAUGUGUUGCCUGGGGAGAUUUAUAGCACCUUUUUAGGUUUGAUAAAGUCACACUCUUUUCUCUAAGGUAAAGUCUUCUUGUCUUUACCGUGAACUCACAAUGAAUUCUCAACCCAAACACAUAACCAUUUAAAAGAUGCUGCUAGAGAUCAAAUGAGCCACACUGCACAUAAAAUGGAAAGCCCUCACCUCUGUGGAGGUCUCUAAGCUUCUCAGACCCUGUUAAAUAUCCAUUCCUUGCAGUUGGCCAGAUAGCAGAAGUGAAGGUUCAUGAGCACAUCAACUAGAACAUCAAAACAAUAGCUCACUGGCUGUGCUAAGACUAGUGAGCUUUCACUAUAGAAUCUGCAAGCUGGGCUACUCAUGUGAUUUCCCUCCAUCUUGUAAUAGAUUAGCUUACAAUAGAACAUCAAUUUUCACAUGCCUGAAACCCCAGACUUUGGUGACAAAAGACUGUAAGAGGGGCUCGGUUUGAUCUGGCUGUCAAGACUUGAGGGAGCUGUGGCAUCAAUGGCUAUGAGUCAGACCCAGGUUCUGACUCCUGUAAAAUAAGUAUCCUAACAGUGUCACUGAAGGCAGGUGGUCUUGUUUCAGAUAAAAUGAUAAGCAUACAAUACCUGUCUUCUAAUAGAUCUGGGUUGUAUGUAGGAAGGUAUAGCUCUGAGUAACCUUUAAAUGUUAUGAUUUCUACAGAUGCCUAGGAAUUUAAAGCAAAAAGAUUGUAUUUCCUCUUGAUUUUGUUGAUUUCCAACUUAGACCAGCUUUAAGGGAUAAUGAGGUAACAAAACAUGCCAGUGAGUUCUCCUUUUUAAAUUUGCCUGCUAAAUAAGCAUUAUGUUCUUUAUGACUUAGAUUAUACUUAAGUGGGCUAAGAGUGGAGUCAGGGUAGUGAUAAUGGGGCUGGACAGAAUUGUACUACAUUGCCUUUAUGAUGAAUAUUAAAGAGAAUGAAAAUAUUUAGCCUUGGAGAAGGCUCGGGUGGAUAUCUAUUUCAAAGUAGUUAAACUUAUGCCAAAUGAGAAAGUAUCUUCUUAAGAUGGAAGAACUAUAAUCCACAGGAGACAAUUUUCAGGAAACAAAUUUUGUUUAAGAGUAGGGAAGAAUAUGCUCUUAAGUCAAAAUAAGUAUAACAUGAUACUUGCUAUCAGAGAAGGUAGUGAAUUUGGUUUCAGUUGAAGUGAUCCAGACUACAUAACUGUCAGUCAGAAAUAUUCCAAACUGUCACUGUUUCCUAAUAAUGACAGGUGUCAUAGAUUACAUAAAUACAAAACAAAUUCAGUACAUGUAAGUAAGCGGACAUCCUGUUUCUUUUUUUGUUGUUUGUUUUCUUUUUUUAUUACUCAAUAGAUUUUAUUACAUUUACAGUUAUACAACAAUCAUCAUUUCUGUAAUAACUGGUGAUGUUGAACAUCUUUUCAUGUGUUUUCUGGCUAUCUGUACAUCUUCUUUGUAAAAUUGUCUGUUUAGAUCUUCUGCCCAAUUUUUGAUAGCAUUGUUUGUUUUUUUGGUAUUGAGCUGCAGGGGGUGUUUAUAAAUAUUGGAGAUUAAUCCCUUGUCAGUCACUUCAUUUGCAAAGAUUUUCUCCCAUUCCGUGGGUUGUCUUUUCAUUUUGUUUAGGGUUUCCUUUGCUGUGCAAAAACUUUUAAGUUUAAUUAAGUCCCAUUUUUGUAUUUUUGUUUUUAUUGUCAUAACUCUAGGAGGUGGAUCUAAGAAGAUAUUGCUGUGGUUUACGUCGGGGAGUGUUUGGCCUAUGUUUUCCCCUAAGAGUUUUAUAGUAUCUGGUCUUAUAUUUAGGUCUGUAAUCCAUUUUGAGUUUACUUUUGUGUAUGGUGUUAGGAAGUGUUCUAAUUUCAUUCUUUUACAUGUGGCUGUCCAAUUUGCCCAGCACAACUUAUUGAAGGGGCUGUCUUUUUUCCAUUGUAUAUUCUUGCCUCCUUUGUUAUAGAUUGUAGGUACGUGGGUUUAAUUCUGGGCUCUCUAUCCUAUUCCACUGAUCUAUAUUUCUGUUUUUUGUGCCAGUACCAUAGAGUUUUGAUGACUGUCACUUUGUGGCAUAGUCUGAAGUCAGGGACCCUGAUUCCUCCAGCUACAUUUUUCUUUCUCAGGAUGGAUUUGGCUAUUCUGGGUCUUUUGUGCUUCCAAACAAACUUUAAGAUAUUUUGUUCUAGUUCUGCGAAAAAAUGCCCUUGGCAUUGAAUCUGUAGAUUGCCUUGGGUAGUAUAGUCAUUUUGAUAAUAUUACUCUUCCAACCCAAGAGCAUGGUAUGUCUUCCCAUCUGUUUGCAUCAUCUUUGAUUUCUUUCAUCAGUGUCUUAUAGUUUUUAGAAUACAGGUCUUUUGUCUCUUUAGGUAGGUUUAUUCCUAAGUAUUCUUUUUUGAUGCGAUGGUACAUGGUAUUAUUUCCCUAAUUUCUCUUUCUGAUCUUUUGUUGUUAGUAUUUAGAAAUGCCAUCAAUUUCUGUGUAUUAAUUUUGUAUCCUGAGACUUUGCCAAAUUCAUUGAUGUGCUUUAACAGUUUUCUGGUAGCAACUUUAAGAUUUUCUAGGUAUAGUAUCAUGUCAUCUGAAAAUAGUGAUAGUUUUGCUUCUUCCUUUCCAAUUUGGAUUCCUUUUAUUUUUUUUCUUCUCUGAUUGCCAUGGCUAGGACUUCCAAAACUAUGUUGAAUAGUUGUGGCAAGAGCGGAUAUCUUUGUCUUGCUCCUGAUCUCAGCGGGAAUUCUUUCAGCUUUUCACCAUUGAGAAUGAUGUUAGCUCUGUGUUUGUCAUAUAUGGCCUUUAUUAUGUUGAGGUAGAUUCCCACUAUGCCCACUUUCUGAAGGGUUUUUUAUCAGAAAUGGGUGUUGGAUUUUUUUAAAGACUUUUUCUGCAUCUAUUGAGAGGGUCAUAUGGUUUUUAUUCUUCAGUUUGUUAAUGUGGUAUAUUACACUGAUUGAUUUGCAGAUAUUAAAGAAUCCUUGCAUCCCUGGGAUAAAUCCCACUUGAUCAUGAUGUACAAUCCUCUUGGUGUAUUGUUGGAUUCAGUUUGGUAGUAUUUUGUUGAGGAUUUUUGCAUCUAUGUUCAUCAGUAAAAUUGGCCUUUAAUUUUAUGUGUGUGUGUGCUAUCUUUGUCUGGUUUUGGUAUCAGGGUGACAGCAGCUUCAUAGAAUGAGUUUGGGAAUGUCCCUUCCCCUGGGAUCUUUUGGAAUAGUUUCAGAAGGAGAGGUGUUAGCUCUUCUCUAAAUGUUUGAUAGGCAACCAUCAUGUUUCAAACCCCAAAAUAAGAUGAUGUGAAGGAAGCUUGCAUUUAAUACUGCAUGUGUUGCAGAACUUGCUGCUGGUGAAUCGAAACUAGAGAAUUAAUGUUGAGCUAAAUGUACAUGCAGGGAGAAAGAACAAGCUAAAGAAAAUCCUCUUGGCUGUUUUCCACAGUUGGUGGUGACUGAUGGAAAAAUCCCUGCCAGUCAGUGGGGAGUGGCUGCCAGCUGGCAUAGCAAAGGAUCUGAGAGCACAGUGGUCCAAUAGGAAAAGGAUUCCUAAAGUUUCUGCUUUCUGGGAGUGUGUGUGUGUGUGUGUGUGUGUGUGUGUGUGUGUAAGACAGUGAAAGUAACUUCUAAAAAAGGAGAGGCAAAGGGAACAGACAAAGAAGGUAAUUCAAAACUAAGAAAGCAGAGGAUCAAUAGUAAAAAUGGAGGCCAAAAAAGAUAAGAAAAUUAAUCGGAGAAAUGAAUAGGAUACACAUAGGAAAAGAGUGAUAAGGGAGACAAAUCUACUCUGGCUCAAGUGGCAGAAGGAAAAGUUCAGUCUGUGAAUGGGGUCAGCAAAGCCAUCUCUUCCAGCUUGUUUGAGAACCAGCUAUGCUGGGACCCAAGUGCAAGUGUUUACUCUGCAAGUUUACGCUAAGUUUAUUUGUCAGUCCUGAUCUUGUGUGAAUUAGGAAAUAAAAUGCUUGACCUUGCCCCUCCCCUUCCUCUUGUGGAUGAAAGCCAAGGCUCAGGAACCCUCUCCAUCAACAGCCCCUCAUGGGGCCUGUCCUAUCCAACACCUCCACUAGGGGUCCCACUAGUCUUAUCCCCACAAACCAUGCUUUCCUGCAGAUAGCACAGCCUCCUGCAUGCUCUUCUCGGCUUGUGCUCCACAGAUGAAUAUUACCAGAGAAAUGUCUCAUUCUUACUCAAGAGGCACUUGCGUUUUUUUUUUAAUUGAAAUUUUGUUGACAUACAUUAUCUGUACAUCAGGUGUACUACAUAAUAAUUUGACAUUAUGCAGGUAUUUUUAUCUUCCAAAUGCUACUGUGCUAAUAUUCUGUGCUAAUGAGACCAGGUUACACACAACUUCAGGUUGUUCUUUCCAAACCAGGCAAUGUGCGGUUGGACAGAUUUUCCAUAUAAACAUGCCCUGUCUUUUGUUAUCCAAGCCAAGGUUGCUGCUCUAACCAUGAACAUCAAAUCUAGUCAAAAUGAAGUUCCAUAGAAUAUGGGAGAGAGAAGUCUUGGUCUUUGUCACAAUAGGGUCUAAUACAUUGCCAUCUCUCUUCCCAAAUACACUUCAUCUGGUGUGGGUAAUAUAAUCUACCCAAGCAUUAGAAUAUUCAUCUGAGUGGGGUAUUUUUAUAACAACAGAGAAUUAUGAACAGGCCAUUAAAGGUCUGAGUUUGCAGGUCUCCUCUGUCAUGUACAUCCUGGUGCAUAACUUAAUUUUAAAAUGGGAGAAAAAGAAAAAUUAUUGCUAGCAUUAUGAUGUUGGAUAAGGUUUAUAAUAGCAAUAAUCCCCCAUGAAAACAGUUGUUAUCAUAGUUAAUGCCCAUUUUGUCACUGUGUUAACCUUCCCUGGCUCUGCCUCGGGCCAUUAAAUGGCCAACCAUUUGUUAAGCACCCUAGAGCAAGCAAUUUCAGGAGGAAUGUUGCUGAGCUCAUUUGCUAAGUAAAACACCUGAGAAGACAGUGAUAAACUCUGCAUAGGUUCACAUAUACACAUGCAUCCUUAUACAUACUUAACCCAGGUCCUUUUUAAAAGAAUAUUCUGCGUUACAAUUCCUUGGUAUCAUGCUUACUAAGACAGGCUAUGCCAAAUUUGGGAUCUCAGAUUGUUGCCCUAACUAUUCCCUGCCAUUCUUUCCCAGGUCCAGCUGGUAUCAAUAUUUAAAGUGUUUUACAAUUUUAACUCUGGCCCUAAAGAAUAGACCAGCCCUUUAAAAUGUUCAAAGGGCAUAAAUAAAAAACAAAAUUAAAAUAAUGUUGCUUGAAAGCAAGAGAAAAACAGGAAAAUGAAGGGAUAAGAUAUGUCUAACAUCUGGGAAUAUCUAUCCCUCAAAUCAACACAGCUUUGCUAAUUUAUUCAGAUAAUUAGAUGUAUUCAAUGCUUUAUACAUAUUAACUCUUCUAACUGUUACACAUUCUUUACAAAGUCAAUAUUAUUAAUAGUCCCAACUGAUGGGUGAAGAAACAGAAUUUGAACCCGGGUUGUUUGACUUCAGAUCCAAGCUUUUCGCUACCAUGAUAUAACAUACCAAUCUCCGUUUCAAAACAAACAGGCAAGAUUUCGAAAAAUACUGGCUCCUCUCAUUUGCAUUAUGCGUCAGUUCUGUACCAAACAAGAUGAUGGUUACUGGUUACUAAUAUUUGUUAAGAUCAACUAUUUAUUAUGGUCCAGGGAGGAUCAUUCAAAUAAAUCAUGUCCAAGUAUGAGCUGGGUUUCAAAGUCACAGCAAAACAGAACUCCAUGGCCUACAUACUGAUCAAGGGUAUUGUAGUAGAUUUUAUUAAAAUCUGUUUAUUCUUUAUUAGAUGACUUUCUGAUAGGUUACCAUGGAACCUCAAUUGGCCCAGAAUUAUAAAUUUUUAAUUUUGUACAGGGUUUACCUAAUUAGUUAAAGGUAGUUGCAUCUCUCUUCAACUACUUUCCUUCAGGAAAAAAGCUAUUUCAACCCUAUCUCACUUAAGUGAAGAAUACAGGUACGUUAUGUAAGUUUUGACAUAAUUAGCCACUUCAUUAAUGAAAUAAUUGAACUUCCUUAAUCAAAGGUAGAACUUCUUACUUAAAGCUUAGCUUGAAGAAUCAAAUGGGCAUAACAGUAGGAGGUACAAAGAUUGGUUUGGAGACAGGAAAAAAAAUUAAUGAGGGAGAGAUCUUUUCUCAUUAAACUACUAAUUCUGUAAGGCUAUAUUCUAUUUUUAAUUUUUACUUCCCAUCAUCAUUUUCACCACAGUUAAUAUUGUUAACUGCUAAUAUCAGAUGAGUACCAUACAUAAUGCAUGCAAGACAAUCUCAAAGGACUAGCAGAAGAAUUGUAGACUGUUUGCCGGGAUUAUGGUUAGUCCUUGAUUUCUUGUAUUGACAGAGAGAAGCCUGAAAGCAAAUUCUAUGAAUUCAGGGAUAAGCCUAGACUCUCCAUUAGGCAUUGUCCUCAACUGUUUUAGCACCCUAAUAUUUUCAGACUAGGGGGGCUCAAUUAGGAUAGAAAGCAAUAGAAGUACUGUACUUGAUUUUUCCCCCAAACACCUAAAAUUUACACAAGAACUGGUUUCUGGCUAUGAGCAAAUCUCAAGCACACUCUUAGGCAAGCACUUAAAAUGUACUAAUAGUCUGGUGGUAGAAGUAGGAAGGUGGUUCAUUAGCAUAUGCUUAUCAAUUAUCUGCAUAAAUAGCUCUUUUUAUCACUUCGUUGUCCAGGCUUUUUCUCACUUGGUAGCUGGCAGAAAGCCAUUGCAAUCUAGGUGUUGCUCAGAUUACAGAGUUUCCCACCUCUGCAUUCCUUAGUGUUCUGUAGUACGGAAGGGUUAAAGAGCAAAAAAACCACAAACAGAUGUCAAGUGUAAUGAUAAGUAAAACUGGUGCACUAGAGUUCUGCAAGUUUAGUAGCGUAACCAUACACCAGUAACCCAUUAGACAAGUAUGAUGAUGUAAUUUAUUCAUCCAUGCUAACUUUUAGUGACUAUGUCAAGAUGCGUUGUAAGAUGUCUACAAAUAAUGUGAUCUAAAAGCUUGCAAACAAAUAUUUCAUAGGUUAGAACAGAUCCCUUUAAUAAUGUCAUGAUCACUUUAUGUUAUAAUUUCUUUUCUUUGAGUGGGAAAGUAGUAGAAAGCCUUGAUGUGCAAAAUUGUGUCAAAUUCUUGGUUUAUUCUUCAAAAUGCAUCCUAUGCUUUGGUGCCUUGCCAUCUGUCUUGUCCAGCCAGACUAAACAAUGUCAACAUUUGCCUGAAGAAGGAAGGACCCAAGGAGAGGAGCUCGGAUGUGUUGGGAGGGCCUGAUAGAAGCCUGACACCAUAGACAACCUAGCCCAGAGUCAGGCCUUUCCAUGGAUGUGCAGAGAGGAUUUCUCUUCUUUGUCCCUUCAUUGUUUCUCUUGAAUAUUUACUCUAGGAUGUUACUUUGGGGUGAAAUAUCUUCAUCGUGACAGUGCAAAUAAAAAGUGGCAAAGUCUGAAUUAAAACUAAACUCUGGGCCUAUGUGUGCACAUAAAAGAGAUGAAUAUUACCUAGGGUGAUCACAUCCUGAAAGGAAGGUGGCCAGUUUCCCCAGGGAGGGAUUAAUCCUCCUUAGAUUCUCUGGGGCUUGUAGCCUGUGAGAAAGACAGAGUCUGAGAGCAAGUACAGCACCAGUGGAUCCUCUAGGCACCAGCCUAAUGCAGGCAGGCCCAGAGUCUUGGGAGAAUGGGUUUGUGUAGCAUCUCCACUUCUCACAGGAAGGAAGGCUACCAGGGGCUGUGGUCUUCCUCUCUGUGCUGGGAGUCAGCAGAGGGGCUUUUGGCUUGAGCAUAUGGGCACCUUGCUCUGGUCCUCUCGUUCUUUUGGUGACCGCCCCACUGCAUGCAACCUUUCCACACAACCUUCUUGUAACACUCUGGGUUUUAGAGUUUUUGAAAUUAUACUUUAAUAAAUAGAAGCCUAGAGUAGUCCCUGCUAGUGCUUGCCCCUUUGUCCUUACCCUUCUUAUUAAAUUCUCAGUUGCUUAGAGUAAAAGAAGUAGCAUCGGUGUGGAAAACUAGAAACCUUGAACGGCAGUCCCAAUGGGCUCCAGACUUCGGUUUCCCCAGCAAUAGUAGCCAAGCUGCACGAACAGCACCUCUCUUUCCUUGCAGCUCAUUUAAACACACAUACAUGUAUAUUAUGUGCAUAUAUGUACACAUAUGUAUGUAUACACAUACAUGUGACUUGUGUGAUAAUACUUAAUACCUUGAUAGACUUAUAAUUUUAUUUUUACUGGUGCCCUAAAUUACAAUAAGACACUACAAUUUGUACCCAAGUCUCUCUAACUCUAAAGACAAAGCUCUU